rnacentral:rRNA from 1 species
AGAGUUUGAUCCUGGCUCAGGAUGAACGCUGGCGGCGUGCUUAACACAUGCAAGUCGAGCGAAGCGUAUUAGCGGAAGUUUUCGGAUGGAAGCGGAUAUGACUUAGCGGCGGACGGGUGAGUAACGCGUGGAUAACCUGCCUCAUACAAGGGGAUAACAGUUAGAAAUGACUGCUAAUACCGCAUAAGCGCACAGGACCGCAUGGUCCGGUGUGAAAAACUCCGGUGGUAUGGGAUGGAUCCGCGUCUGAUUAGCUGGUUGGUGAGGUAACGGCCCACCAAGGCGACGAUCAGUAGCCGACCUGAGAGGGUGGCCGGCCACAUUGGGACUGAGACACGGCCCAAACUCCUACGGGAGGCAGCAGUGGGGAAUAUUGCACAAUGGGGGAAACCCUGAUGCAGCAACGCCGCGUGAGUGAAGAAGUAUUUCGGUAUGUAAAGCUCUAUCAGCAGGGAAGAAGAAAGACGGUACCUGACUAAGAAGCCCCGGCUAACUACGUGCCAGCAGCCGCGGUAAUACGUAGGGGGCAAGCGUUAUCCGGAUUUACUGGGUGUAAAGGGAGCGUAGACGGCUGUGCAAGUCUGAAGUGAAAGCCCGUGGCUCAACCGCGGAACUGCUUUGGAAACUGUAUAGCUUGAGUACUGGAGAGGCAGGCGGAAUUCCUAGUGUAGCGGUGAAAUGCGUAGAUAUUAGGAGGAACACCAGUGGCGAAGGCGGCCUGCUGGACAGAAACUGACGUUGAGGCUCGAAAGCGUGGGGAGCAAACAGGAUUAGAUACCCUGGUAGUCCACGCGGUAAACGAUGAAUGCUAGGUGUUGGGGAGCAAAGCUCUUCGGUGCGGUUGUCAAACGCAGUAAGCAUUCCACCUGGGGAGUACGUUCGCAAGAAUGAAACUCAAAGGAAAGAUCGGGGACCCGCACAAGCGGUGGAGCAUGUGGUAUAAUUGGAAGAUACGAGAAGAACCUUACCAAGUCUUGACAUCUUGCGCUAACCUUAGAGAUAAGGCGUUCCCUUCGGGGACGCAAUGACAGGUGGUGCAUGGUCGUCGUCAGCUCGUGUCGUGAGAUGUUGGGUUAAGUCCCGCAACGAGCGCAACCCUUGUUACUAGUUGCCAGCAUUAAGUUGGGCACUCUAGUGAGACUGCCGGUGACAAACCGGAGGAAGGUGGGGACGACGUCAGAUCAUCAUGCCCCUUAUGACCUGGGCUACACACGUGCUACAAUGGACGGUACAACGAGUCGCAAGCUCGCGAGAGUAAGCUAAUCUCUUAAAGCCGUUCUCAGAUCGGACUGUAGGCUGCAACUCGCCUGCACGAAGCUGGAAUCGCUAGUAAUCGCGGAUCAGAACGCCGCGCUGAAAGGGUUCCCGGGUCUUGCACA